rnacentral:pre_miRNA from 1 species
AAAAAGACAAACUCUAGAUUUCUGUGUCCAACGUUUAACCAUCCGUCUUAUUUAAAAAGAUUAUAAAAAAAUUAAAAAGACAAGUUACGCAUAAAGUAUUAAUCAUGUUUUAUUAUCUAACAACAAUAAAAAAUACUAAUUAUUAAAAAAUUUCAUAUAAGACGGACAAUCAAAUGUUAGACACGGAAACUCAGGGUUUGUCUUUUU